rnacentral:rRNA from 2 species
UUAAAUUGAAGAGUUUGAUCAUGGCUCAGAUUGAACGCUGGCGGCAGGCCUAACACAUGCAAGUCGAACGGUAACAGGAAGCAGCUUGCUGCUUCGCUGACGAGUGGCGGACGGGUGAGUAAUGUCUGGGAAACUGCCUGAUGGAGGGGGAUAACUACUGGAAACGGUGGCUAAUACCGCAUAACGUCGCAAGACCAAAGAGGGGGACCUUCGGGCCUCUUGCCAUCAGAUGUGCCCAGAUGGGAUUAGCUGGUUGGUGAGGUAACGGCUCA